GAACGGUGUAGCUAUACACAGUGGCGCACGGGUGCGUAACACGUAUGCAACCUACCUUACAUUGGAGGAUAGCCUUUCGAAAGGGAGAUUAAUACCGCAUAAGACAGUAACUAGGCAUCUAGUAGCUGUUAAAGAUUUAUCGAUGUAAGCUGGGCAUGCGUCCAAUUAGUUAGUUGGCGAGGUAAUGGCUCACCAAGACGAUGAUUGGUAGGGGAACUGAGAGGUCAAUCCCCCACACUGGCACUGAGAUACGGGCCAGACUCCUACGGGAGGCAGCAGUAAGGAAUAUUGGGCAAUGGGCGCAAGCCUGACCCAGCCAUGCCGCGUGCAGGAAGAAGGCGUUACGCGUUGUAAACUGCUUUUAUACAGGAAGAAACGACCCUUGCGAGGGGCAUUGACGGUACUGUAUGAAUAAGCACCGGCUAACUCCGUGCCAGCAGCCGCGGUAAUACGGAGGGUGCAAGCGUUGUCCGGAUUUAUUGGGUUUAAAGGGUGCGCAGGUGGUUUAUUAAGUCAGUGGUGAAAGACGGUCGCUCAACGAUUGCAGUGCCAUUGAUACUGGUAGACUUGAGUAAAGUAGAGGUGGGCGGAAUUGAUAGUGUAGCGGUGAAAUGCAUAGAUAUUAUCAAGAACUCCAAUUGCGUAGGCAGCUCACUUGGCUUUUACUGACACUCAUGCACGAAAGUGUGGGUAUCAAACAGGAUUAGAUACCCUGGUAGUCCACACUGUAAACGAUGAUAACUAGGUGUCGGCUUUUCGGAGUCGGUGCCACAGCGAAAGCGUUAAGUUAUCCACCUGGGGAGUACGCCGGCAACGGUG
rnacentral:rRNA from 1 species